UUAUUUAGUUUAUUUAAUACAGCAUAAUUUAGGUAGUAGAUGUUAAAAAUAUUAAAGUUGACAGCAGUAUUUAGUCUUAGUAUAAAUGGGGGUCCAUUGUAGUCUAUAUGGUGCACCUGUGAUAUCGACCUCGGGGUCAAUACCCGACUCACAAAUGUCAGUAGUGGGAAUAAUAGGAGUCAAUUUAUUUAUCUGUCUACGCAACCCUAGUACGGUUGAAGCAGGUUCCUCGCCUCUGAUUAAUACUUCAUAGUUUAAUUCAUUUUUGUUUAGCAAAAAGAAUUUAAUGGGGUAUGUUUCCAUGAUAUCUAGCGAUCAAAACGAUUACUAUUAAGUUAUACAAAACAAUAAGAUAACGUAGGUUACAGAAAUCUUAAAUAGUUAAAAUUUUAAAAGUUAUAGAAGUUAUACAAAUCGCAAAUAGUUAAGAUUGUCGAAUAAUAGAUCAGCUGUUUACAUGUAAGUAUAGUUAAAUGGUGUUCUUUACAAAGUAUGCUACCUAUUACCUACACAGAAUUACGCUUAGUGACAAA